AGAGUUUGAUCAUGGCUCAGGACGAACGCUGGCGGCGUGCCUAACACAUGCAAGUCGAACGGACGAGGCCCCUUCGGGGACCGAGUUAGUGGCGGACGGGUGAGUAACGCGUGAGCAACCUGCCUUUCAGAGGGGGACAACAGUUGGAAACGACUGCUAAUACCGCAUGAUGCAGCGAGAUCGCAUGGUCUUGCUGUCAAAGAUUUAUCGCUGAAAGAUGGGCACGCGUCUGAUUAGCUAGUUGGAGGGGUAACGGCCCACCAAGGCGACGAUCAGUAGCCGGACUGAGAGGUUGAACGGCCACAUUGGGACUGAGAUACGGCCCAGACUCCUACGGGAGGCAGCAGUGGGGAAUAUUGGGCAAUGGGGGAAACCCUGACCCAGCAACGCCGCGUGAAGGAAGAAGGCUUUCGGGUUGUAAACUUCUUUUACCAGGGACGAAGAACGUGACGGUACCUGGAGAAAAAGCCACGGCUAACUACGUGCCAGCAGCCGCGGUAAUACGUAGGUGGCAAGCGUUGUCCGGAUUUACUGGGUGUAAAGGGCGUGUAAGCGGAGCUGCAAGUCAGAUGUGAAAUCUGGGGGCUUAACCCUCAAACUGCAUUUGAAACUGUAGCCCUUGAGUAUCGGAGAGGCAGGCGGAAUUCCUAGUGUAGCGGUGAAAUGCGUAGAUAUUAGGAAGAACACCAGUGGCGAAGGCGGCCUGCUGGACGACAACUGACGCUGAGGCGCGAAAGCGUGGGGCGCAAACAGGAUUAGAUACCCUGGUAGUCCACGCUGUAAACGAUGAAUACUAGGUGUGGGGGGACUGACCCCCUCCGUGCCGGAGUUAACACAAUAAGUAUUCCACCUGGGGAGUACGACCGCAAGGUUGAAACUCAAAGGAAUUGACGGGGGCCCGCACAAGCAGUGGAUUAUGUGGUUUAAUUCGACGCAACGCGAAGAACCUUACCGGGAUUUGACAUCCUACUAACGAAGCAGAGAUGCAUUAGGUGCCCUUCGGGGAAAGUAGAGACAGGUGGUGCAUGGUUGUCGUCAGCUCGUGUCGUGAGAUGUUGGGUUAAGUCCCGCAACGAGCGCAACCCCUAUUGUUAGUUGCUACGCAAGAGCACUCUAGCGAGACUGCCGUUGACAAAACGGAGGAAGGCGGGGACGACGUCAAAUCAUCAUGCCCCUUAUGUCCCGGGCUACACACGUAAUACAAUGGCGGUCAACAAAGGGAAGCAAAGCCGCGAGGCAGAGCAAACCCCCAAAAGCCGUCUCAGUUCGGAUUGCAGGCUGCAACUCGCCUGCAUGAAGCUGGAAUUGCUAGUAAUCGUGGAUCAGAAUGCCACGGUGAAUACGUUCCCGGGCCUUGUACACACCGCCCGUCACACCAUGAGAGUCGGGAACACCCGAAGUCCGUAGUCUAACCCGCAAGGGAGGGCGCGGCCGAAGGUGGGUCUGAUAAUUGGGGUGAAGUCGUAACAAGGUA
rnacentral:rRNA from 1 species